rnacentral:rRNA from 1 species
UACGUAGGCAGCAAGCGUUUGUUCGGAGUUACUGGGCGUAAAGGGUGUGUAGGCGGUUCUUUUAAGUUUGGUGUGAAAUCUCCCGGCUCAACUGGGAGGGUGCGCCGAAUACUGAGGGACUAGAGUACGGGAGAGGAAAGUGGAAUUCCUGGUGUAGCGGUGAAAUGCGUAGAUAUCAGGAGAAACACCGGUGGUGUAGACGGCUUUCUGGACCGUAACUGACGCUGAGACACGAAAGCGUGGUAGCAACAGG